rfam:Myotis lucifugus cont2.10529, whole genome shotgun sequence.
GAGACACUCUUAUGGGGCAAGACAUGCUUCAGUGGGGCUUUGGUGCUCACUGAGUCUGCCCCCUGAGUGUGUCCCU